UAUGGCCACAUCAUAUUGAAACACUGGUUCCUGUAUGUUCACCAAAGUUAAGCAAUCUUGAACAUAGUCAGUACCUAGAUGGGUGAUUGCUUGGGGAUAUCAGGUGCUGCAAC